rnacentral:rRNA from 1 species
AUUGAACGCUGGCGGCAUGCCUUACACAUGCAAGUCGAACGGCAGCACGGGUGCUUGCACCUGGUGGCGAGUGGCGAACGGGUGAGUAAUACAUCGGAACAUGUCCUGUAGUGGGGGAUAGCCCGGCGAAAGCCGGAUUAAUACCGCAUACGAUCUACGGAUGAAAGCGGGGGACCUUCGGGCCUCGCGCUAUAGGGUUGGCCGAUGGCUGAUUAGCUAGUUGGUGGGGUAAAGGCCUACCAAGGCGACGAUCAGUAGCUGGUCUGAGAGGACGACCAGCCACACUGGGACUGAGACACGGCCCAGACUCCUACGGGAGGCAGCAGUGGGGAAUUUUGGACAAUGGGCGAAAGCCUGAUCCAGCAAUGCCGCGUGUGUGAAGAAGGCCUUCGGGUUGUAAAGCACUUUUGUCAGGAAAGAAAUCCUUGGCCCUAAUACGGUCGGGGGAUGACGGUACCGGAAGAAUAAGCACCGGCUAACUACGUG